GCGCUCGUGGUGAAAUGGCAGACACGCCAGCUUGAGGGGCUGGUGGGGGCAACCCCGUGGAGGUUCAAGUCCUCUCGAGCGCACCA
rnacentral:tRNA from 1 species